CUAGAGAGGCUCGGUCUCCCUCAGGAUGUGGUGCGCACCAUUCAGUGCGCACGAGCCACUUCCACAGCGUUAUAUGCUUCGAAGUGGUCAGCCUUUCAACGCUGAUGUGCGGGAGAGAGCUUGGAGCCCAUUUCAUGUCCUUUAGGCUGAGUGCUGUCAUUUCUCCAUCAGCUGAUGGACAGAAAUUUAGUUUUCAGCACCAUUAAAACAGAUGCUGCAGCUAUUUCCUCCUGUCAUGAGGGUUUUUGGUGACAGAACGGUUUUCAACCACCCACUGAUGAAGCGGUUUCUGAGAGGUGUGCGCAGAAGCAGACAGGUGUCACGCCCACUUGCUCCUCUGUGGGAUUUAACACUGGUCCUGCACGCUCUGGUUGAAGCUCCAUUUCAGCCUUUAGAUCAGGCUCCUCUUAAGUUCCUAUCUUUUAAAACUGCUCUGCUGUUGGCCCUUACGUCUGCAAAGAAAGUGAGCGAUUUUUCCGCUCUCUUUGUUGCUCCUUCUUGUCUCGGAAUACGAGGCGACGGCAGCUCAGCUGUGCUGCGUCCCAAUCCUGCUUUACUCCUCAAAGCAUCACAAGCUUGUUCAGAUCAAGGGAGAUAUCUUUGGAGGGUUCUUAUCCCCCUCCUCAUAAAUCCGAGACAGAAACUGGUUCUCAUCUUCUCUGCCCUGUGCGCGCGCUCUCAUGUUAUGUGGUGCACACGUCUGCACUGCGUCACUCUCAGCGUCUGUUCGUGCACUACGGAGAUAACUCAGUGGAGCAUCCUUUCUGCCCAGCGUCUUUCUCACUGGUUGUGUGAGGCCAUCUCACAGGCUUACACUUCUUCUGAAUUGGAUCCUCCAGAGAAUCAGACAGCUCACGCCACCGGAGGAAUUUCAUCCUCCACAGCUCUGCAUGGAGGAAUGUCUGUGGAGGACAUUUGCACAGCAGCUUCCUGGUCAUAUCUGUGCUCAUUUAUUCGGUUUUACCUGUGUUUUUCAUCAUUGGGAAAAACUGGUAAUCAAUGUUGAAUCAAUGUAUGCUGUUUGUCACACUCCUUACCCUCCUAUUCCCUCCUAUUCCCUCUCCUAAUCCUCUUUGAGCUCUGGGUGGGAGCAUUUUAUUUUUGAACGGGGUGAAUCACGUUUUAAAUUAAGCAUUAUAUGUUGAGGACAGCAUGCUUAUAAAAGUUACAUGUUAAAGCUUUAACAUUUUAACAUUUCUGUAACUUUUUUAAGAGCAGUACCUCACUUGCAAUUUCAAUGAUAUUGAAUUUGAUUUCAAUGUCAUUCCAAUAUCAGUAACCACAGUGAAUAGGUGAAUGACUCAAGGUAGUGUGAAGAGCUUUGAGGUCCUACAAGUCACCUGAAGCAGUGGAGCGGUCCGCCUCCCCCUUUUUACACUGGUGGCAUGUCCCAACUACACAGCUACUUUGCUGCUAGCUUGUUUUCAACUGGCUUCUGAAUUGAAUUCUACUCUGAGCCCUUUUGCACUGGUGCUCAGCAGUUUGACUCAGAGCUGACUGACAAGAACUGCAGUGAAACUGUCAAGAAGUGGCUUCGUUACGCUCCAGAGAGGGAGGAAGGCAUCAAGGAACCAAAGUGACACCAACAAAAGUCAAACGUGGGUUACCCCAACACAUACUGUUUCCCUGGUUCAUACAGUACAAGGCUUAACCUCAGACUCUGUUCUUCCAUGGCCAAUAGACUGUUGUUCUGACAGUCAAAAAGGAGUCAGACAUGUUUACAGAUCUAUGCCUCUUUUCCUAGAUAUACUGUAAUAUUAAUGCCAUGUUGUCAUUUUUAAAUUUGUGUACACAAAUUUUUGGGAAUAUGCAUGUAAGAUAAUUUUGAACAACAUAAAACCCCAUCAUCUGCCAACAAAAUUGUGUGUUUAACACCAGUGAAGAAACUUUUAACGGUAUGUUAUGAUGUAGACCUAUCAGACCAAAAAAAUGUACAUGAAUCAAUAUUAAUUGAUUAACUUUGAUUCAAUAUGAAAUCAACACAAAUGUGCAUGUACAUCCACAUCCAGAUGAUGUCAAUCAAUAUUGACGUAGUGUCAGUUAUGAUUAAAACCCUAGCAUUGUUUCAACAUAUAAGGUUCUGACCAUUUUUAAUAUUUCAAUAUCAGGUUUCAUCAUGGAUUAAAAUUUUCAACCUAAUGUUUGUUUCAACAUUGAUUCACUCAUAUUUUAUUAUCUGGGUAGAUAGCCACUGCUGGAUCAAAUCUUGAAUGACGUUCAAGAUUUGAUCCAGAGUGUGAGGGCGACAGUAGUAGAAGUUUGUCCUGUUGCAAUCGGUGGGUUGCUAGUUUGAUUCCCUUUCUAUCUGUCUCUGUCAUUGUGCCCUUGCUCAAGACACUUCAUCUUCCUGCUGCUGGUGGUCAGAGGACCUGGUGUCACCUCACCUCUGUCAGCUGUGGCUGCUAUCAGUGUGUGAAUGUGUGUGAAUGGGUGAAUGACUGAAUGUCCUCGAGAGCUACUGUCCUGCAACUUUUGGAUACAUCUUUCCUCCAAUAGACCAGGAUCAGCUCCGAACAGACCUGCUAACCAGCCAUUCAUUUGAUUCAGGUGUGUUAAUUGGCGCAGGGAAGCAUCUGAAAGUUGCAGGAUGGCAGCUCUCAAGGACUGGACUUGAGCACCCCUGUACUGAACAGUCGUACCGCGAUAUUCAAACAAAUAAACUUACGUUAAGCAUAAGUUGAUACUCUUGCGCAAACAGAAAGUUAAUGCAUU